UAAUCGCAGGUCAGCAUACUGCGGUGAAUACGUUCCCGGGUCUUGUACACACCGCCCGUCACACCAUGGGAGCCGGAAAUGCCCGAAGCCAGUGACCCAACCUUAGGGAGGGAGCUGUCGAAGGUGGAGCCGGUAACUGGGGUGAAGUCGUAACAAGGUAUC
rnacentral:rRNA from 1 species